rnacentral:rRNA from 1 species
GUAAGGAAUAUUGGACAAUGGACGCAAGUCUGAUCCAGCCAUGCCGCGUGAAGGAUUAAGGUCCUCUGGAUUGUAAACUUCUUUUAUAAGGGACGAAAAAAGGCUUUUCUAAGUCGUCUGACGGUACCUUAUGAAUAAGCACCGGCUAACUCCGUGCCAGCAGCCGCGGUAAUACGGAGGGUGCAAGCGUUAUCCGGAUUCACUGGGUUUAAAGGGUGCGUAGGCGGGCAGGUAAGUCAGUGGUGAAAUCCUAGAGCUUAACUCUAGAACUGCCAUUGAUACUAUCUGUCUUGAAUAUUGUGAGGGUAAGCGAAAUAUGUCAUGUAGCGGUGAAAUGCUUAGAUAUGACAUAGAACACCUAUUGCGAAGGCAGCUUACUACGCAUAUAUUGACGCUGAGGCACGAAAGCGUGGGGAUCAAACAGGAUUAGAUACCCUUGUAGUCC